rnacentral:sRNA from 1 species
GUGUCCAGGGUUUCCAGGGAGCAGGGGAUCCAGUCCCUACCCACCUUGUCCCCAGAAUCGGAAGCACGGUGCUCUCACAGUGCUCUUACAAAGCACCUUUUGUCACUGUGUUGCCCUGCGUUAUGACAGCCUGACAUUUUCCUAUAAUUUAUCUGUGUUAUUUCAGCCAAACUGAAAUCGGUAAAGGAGGUUUUACACUUUUCUGGACCAGAUUUGAAGAGACUGACCAACCUCUCCAGCCCCGAGGUCUGGCACUUGCUGAGAACAGCCUCUUUACACCUGCGGGGAAGCAGCAUCCUUACAGCACUGCAGCUGCACCAGCAGAAGGAGAGGUUCCCCGCGCAGCACCAGCGCCUGAGCCUCGGCUGCCCGGUACUGGACGCGCUCCUCCGCGGUGGCCUGCCCCUGGAUGGCAUCACUGAGCUGGCCGGACGCAGCUCGGCAGGGAAGACCCAGCUGGCGCUGCAGCUCUGCCUGGCUGUGCAGUUCCCGCGGCAGCACGGAGGCCUGGAGGCUGGAGCCGUCUACAUCUGCACGGAAGACGCCUUCCCGCACAAGCGCCUGCAG